rnacentral:ncRNA from 1 species
UAAACUCCUUCUAAAGCUAAAUACCACCAUGAGUCCGAUAGCGAACAAGUACCGUGAGGGAAAGUUGAAAAGCACUCUGAAUAGAGAGUCAAAUAGUACGUGAAACUGCCUAGGGGUACAAACCCGUUGAACUCAAUGAUCCGGGCGGCGAUAUUCAGCGGUAAACUAGCAUUUGCCGUGCACUUAUCGAUCCGCAGUAACGGACAUCGCGAUCCAUUACAACAGCGGUUGGCCUCGUGCUAACGCUCCGGCAUACACUGCCCCUAGCUCGUGGUGGACGGUCCCUCUGUAAGGGUAGGGUAGCUGCUCUACACUGACCGGGGAUCUCCGCGCAGUCCUUCUGGAAGGCGAAUGGGUCCGACCGAGCUCUGGUGUGCUGCUGGAAGGGUGAUGGAUUCUAACGAGAGGGGUAGUACCGCUGUCUUCUCCGAAAGGCGCGCGAAUCCUUCGUUCGGCGAUGAUGCAUCAUGCAUUGAGGCACCUCCGGGAGCCGUCUUGAAACACGGACCAAGAAGUCUAUCUUGCGCGCAAGCCAAUGGGUCGGUGGCCACGUCCGCGUGUGUCCCGGUUCUAUACACCCAAAGGCGAAGACAACUCGAGUUGCGGGAUUACGGGUUCGGCACUGGCGCAAGCCUUCGUCGGACCCCUCCAUCCCAGGGUGUCCCGAUACGGCGUGUGCUUGCACACCCAGCGGGCAUCCCCGGAGUGCGCAGGAUGCGACCCGAAAGAUGGUGAACUAUGCCUGAUCAGGUUGAAGUCAGGGGAAACCCUGAUGGAGGACCGAAGCAAUUCUGACGUGCAAAUCGAUUGUCAGAGUUGGGCAUAGGGGCGAAAGACCAAUCGAACCAUCUAGUAGCUGGUUCCCUCCGAAGUUUCCCUCAGGAUAGCUGGUGCACGUAGCGUUUCGAACCUUAUUCUUAUCUGGUAAAGCGAAUGAUUAGAGGCCUUAGGUUCGAAAUGAUCUUAACCUAUUCUCAAACUAUAAAUGGGUACGGUACUGGGUGGCAUUCUUUACUGAUCGCCACCCUUUCUACAACCGACGAU